rnacentral:lncRNA from 1 species
GUGUUUAACAUACUUUAUUUAGUAUUCAGAUCAGAUGGCUAUCGUGAGUCCUUUUAACAAUACGUGUGAGCCUUUGGAUCAGAUCCAACGGAUCUGAUGAGAUGAGGGUUGCUCUUGGCUUUUAGUCAAACAUUGACUUUGGUAAUGGGCCUUAGCGCCAUGGGCUUGAUCCAAGUGCUAUCUGGACCUCCUUGUCCAGUUUGCCCCCUAGUUUGUUUAUUUUGAUUUUUUUUUAUUGUUUUAAUUUUAAUUAUAUUUUUUCCAACAUAAUUCAACUCUUGAUUUU